GAAACUGCUACACCUCGGAGACUCUGUGAACCUGAGCUGCAGGAUCUACGCUGAACCCUGUGCAGCAGAACCGGCAGUUUAUUGGUUCACACAUGCCAGAUCUGGUGAGGUCCUCAGAUGCAGGAACCUACCACUGCGCUCUGGCUUCCUGCGGUGUGGUUGUUUUUGGAGAGGGAACAAAGGUAGAAAUUAAAGUCCCGCUUCUCCUGGUGUGUUGUCUGAGUGUCGCUCUGGCACUAUCUAUCAUCGGGCUCCUUGUUUUGUCUUCCUUAAUGUACAAGCUACAGUUAAAACUCAAGAGUGCCUGUGAAGGAGUUGAUACCAACGAGAGAUUUCCUUCAACCAGAACAGCUGUGCAGGAGCAAGAGCCAGAAAGUCUGCAUUACGCUGCAGUGAAUCUGAAGAGGAGCAAAGAACAGCAGCUGCGAUGGAACCCAGAAGUGUGUACUUGUGUGUACUCCAGAACAAAGACCCCAAAGGACUAAAUGUCUGAAGCAAGAAAACGACAACUCACACCGUUGAUUUAAACCUGUUUGAAUGUGGUGCAAUGUUUGCCAAAGGAGUAUUGCAAGUGCAGCAUCGCUUCGAGAAACAAUAACAUGUCAAAUUAAUUUAAAUAGCAACGCUGAGGUUUUAUGAAUUUCCCCUUCAAUCAUCUUUGCCAACAGUCUGCUAAGCUCACUGUGUAAAAAGGUGUCAACUGUUUGGCCCUCCACUGCUGUGGUGAAGGUGUUACUGUAAAGAAGUUUCCACUGGUGGAAACUUAAACCCCAGACAUGAAGACUGGGCCUUCAGUCCACAAUGCUGAGCUAUUCAUUACCCUGCUGCUUAUUUAUCAAUUGGUAAAAGGUUUCCAAUUCUUCUUUUUCAUGUUACAAAAAAAAAA